GUAGGUGGCAAGCGUUGUCCGGAAUUAUUGGGCGUAAAGCGCGCGCAGGCGGUUCAUUAAGUCUUAUGUGAAAGCCCACGGCUCAACCGUGGAGGGUCAUUGGAAACUGGAGAACUUGAGUACAGAAGAGGAAAGCGGAAUUCCACGUGUAGCGGUGAAAUGCGUAGAGAUGUGGAGGAACACCAGUGGCGAAGGCGGCUUUCUGGUCUGUAACUGACGCUGAGGCGCGAAAGCGUGGGGGAGCAAACAGGAUUAGAUACCCUGGUAGUCCACGCCGUAAACGAUGAGUGCUAAGUGUUAGGGGGUUUCCGCCCCUUAGUGCUGCAGCUAACGCAUUAAGCACUCCGCCUGGGAGUACGGCCGCAAGGCUG
rnacentral:rRNA from 1 species